rnacentral:rRNA from 1 species
ACUCAAAUGAAUUGACGGGGACCCGCACAAGCGGUGGAACAUGUGGUUUAAUUCGAGGCAACGCGAAGAACCUUACCAGGCCUUGACUCGCCCUCUAUGGGCUCCCGAAAAGGAGCUCUUCACCUCGGGUGGGAGGAGCACAGGUGCUGCAUGGCUGUCGUCAGCUCGUGUCGUGAGAUGUUGGGUUAAGUCCCGCAACGAGCGCAACCCUCAUCCCUUGUUGCUAACAGGUAAUGCUGAGAACUCUAGGGAAACUGCCGGUGAUAAGCCGGAGGAAGGUGGGGAUGACGUCAAGUCCUCAUGGCCCUUACGGCCUGGGCUACACACGUGUUACAAUGGCAGUGACAAUGCGCCGCUAGCCCGCAAGGGUACGCUAAUCGCAAAAAGCUGUCUCAGUUCGGAUUGUACUCUGCAACUCGAGUACAUGAAGUUGGAAUCGCUAGUAAUCGUAGAUCAGCACGCUACGGUGAAUACGUUCCCGGGUCUUGUACACACCGCCCGU